UUUCCGUGACGCAGCUAACGCAUUAAGUUCCCCGCCUGGGGAGUACGGCCGCAAGGCUAAAACUCAAAGGAAUUGACGGGGACCCGCACAAGCGGCGGAGCAUGCGGAUUAAUUCGAUGCAACGCGAAGAACCUUACCAAGGCUUGACAUAUACGAGAACGGGCCAGAAAUGGUCAACUCUUUGGACACUCGUAAACAGGUGGUGCAUGGUUGUCGUCAGCUCGUGUCGUGAGAUGUUGGGUUAAGUCCCGCAACGAGCGCAACCCUCGUUCUAUGUUGCCAGCACGUAAUGGUGGGAACUCAUGGGAUACUGCCGGGGUCAACUCGGAGGAAGGUGGGGAUGACGUCAAAUCAUCAUGCCCCUUAUGUCUUGGGCUUCACGCAUGCUACAAUGGCCGGUACAAAGGGCUGCAAUACCGUGAGGUGGAGCGAAUCCCAAAAAGCCGGUCCCAGUUCGGAUUGAGGUCUGCAACUCGACCUCAUGAAGUCGGAGUCGCUAGUAAUCGCAGAUCAGCAACGCUGCGGUGAAUACGUUCCCGGGUCUUGUACACACCGCCCGUCAAGUCAUGAAAGUCGGUAA
rnacentral:rRNA from 2 species